GAUCCACUAGUGACGUCUAGCAACAUGUAGUGGCAAUCCAGUAGAAUAAAAAAGUGAAUUCCUAGGUGUAGUUAUUGUGUGAUACAAUCUCUCUAUCGAGCGUCCCGACUUGACGAAGGUCAUGGAGAACUCAUCAAAUUCUAUCAUCAGUCAUAUGUUAGAUUGGCUCGACUCGAGUUCAUUUGUAAAUUUUGUGAAAACUCUUUCUUAGUAUUCACACUUACUC
rnacentral:lncRNA from 1 species